rnacentral:rRNA from 1 species
GACGAACGCUGGCGGCGUGCUUAACACAUGCAAGUCGAACGGUGAAAGCGGAGCUUGCUCCGCUGGAUCAGUGGCGAACGGGUGAGUAACACGUGGGCAACCUGCCCCUCACUUCGGGAUAACUCCGGGAAACCGGGGCUAAUACCGGAUAUGACCUCCUUGGGCAUCCUUGGAGGUGGAAAGUUUUUCGGUGAGGGAUGGGCCCGCGGCCUAUCAGCUUGUUGGUGAGGUAGUGGCUCACCAAGGCGACGACGGGUAGCCGGCCUGAGAGGGGGACCGGCAACACGGGGACUGAGACACGGCCCAGACUCAUACGGGGGGCAGCAGUGGGGAAUAUUGCGCAAUGGGCGAAAGCCUGACGCAGCAACGCCGCGUGCGGGAUGACGGCCUUCGGGUUGUAAACCGCUUUCAGCAGGGAAGAAGCCGCAAGGUGACGGUACCUGCAGAAGAAGCACCGGCUAACUACGUGCCAGCCGCCGCGGUAA